AGAGCUUGCUUUUCUUGAUUAGUGGCGCACGGGUGAGUAAUGCAUAGAUAAUGUGCCCCUUAGUUCGGGAUAGCCACUGGAAACGGUGAUUAAUACCGGAUACUCCUUCUUGUUAUAAGACAAGUCGGGAAAGUUUUUCGCUAAGGGAUCAGUCUAUGUUCCAUCAGCUUGUUGGUGAGGUAAUGGCUCACCAAGGCUAUGACGGAUAUCUGGUUUGAGAGGAUGAUCAGACACACUGGAACUGAGACACGGUCCAGACUCCUACGGGAGGCAGCAGUGAGGAAUAUUGCACAAUGGAGGAAACUCUGAUGCAGCAACGCCGCGUGGAGGAUGACGCAUUUCGGUGUGUAAACUCCUUUUAUUAGGGAAGAUAAUGACGGUACCUAAUGAAUAAGCACCGGCUAACUCCGUGCCAGCAGCCGCGGUAAUACGGAGGGUGCAAGCGUUACUCGGAAUCACUGGGCGUAAAGGGUGCGUAGGCUGGCUUUUAAGUCAGAUGUGAAAUCCAAUGGCUCAACCAUUGAACUGCAUUUGAAACUGAAAGCCUAGAGUUCAGAAGGGGCAGAUGGAAUUAGUGGUGUAGGGGUAAAAUCCGUAGAUAUCACUAGGAAUAUCAAAAGCGAAGGCGAUCUGCUGGGAUGAUACUGACGC
rnacentral:rRNA from 1 species